rnacentral:rRNA from 1 species
GACAGAGGGUGCAAACGUUGUUCGGAAUUACUGGGCGUAAAGCGCGUGUAGGCGGCCCUGCAAGUCGGGUGUGAAAUCCCAUGGCUCAACCAUGGAAGUGCACUCGAAACUGCAGGGCUAGAGUCCUGGAGAGGAAGGUGGAAUGCUUGGUGUAGAGGUGAAAUUCGUAGAUAUCAAGCGGAACACCGGUGGCGAAGGCGGCCUUCUGGACAGUGACUGGCGCUGAGACGCGAAAGCGUGGGGAGCAAACAGG